rnacentral:lncRNA from 1 species
AUUCCUCCCUUAAAUACUCUCUCUCUCUUCUCUUUUAGAGUUCUAUUUAAAAUAAAAUACUAAUAUCUAAAAUAUUAAAUUCGUAAUUACAAAAAUAGCCAAAAAUAUAAAACACGUUAAACUAAAAACUGCAGGUCCGCAAUUGACAGCACGCGCCCACGCCUUAUCAACAAAGUUCUUCUGCCGCUCAUAAUUUCUCCAAGGGAACAAUCAUCCCUAAACAUCAUCUUGUAGCUCAAUUUUAUCACCAAUCAAUAGAAUUGCACCUACAAAAG